rnacentral:misc_RNA from 1 species
AAGGAAGCCUCGAUGACCUCAACAAACCAAAGUUGCCACUGAUUCGGCUGAUGUCUACUGGUCAAAGAAGUGAGCAUUCUUGUGCAUCCUUCACAAUGCGGCGUGUUUUUAAGUCAACUGAAGCUGAAAAUGAUGCCACACCAUCAUCUUCGAACGGAUUGCCCCAACCUAGAGAAGAACCUGGACCAAGUUGUUCUGCUGUUGCCACUAAUUUGGAAGAGGAAGCAGUAAUUACUCAUGUCCAGGGA